AACCGAGCAUUUGCUCAUGCUCAAGCUGAUUCGAGCAAAGUAAAGUCUCUGAGCAUUUACUCGAAACCGUAUGAAUAAAACGAUACUUUACUCAGAGUAAGUUCGAAAUUCGAACAUAGCAUUUACUCUGUCAAAAUGUUGUUUUUGUUUUGGUUAUCCUAUUUUUGCAAGUUGUUAAAAGUAGUCCAGCGUCUCGGGUCCAACGGUGGAAACCGCAAAUAGAAGUCCCAUAUCGGAUUUUACCCGUUUUUGUAGUCUGUUGCCGCUUGCUGAUGGAGGGACACACAAGGGUGAAACUCAACUAGCAUCACGUCUGCCGGAAAUAGGUGCACAAGUACAAACCUGAGUUUCACCAAAUGAAAACCUCGAUCUGAGUCCGCUACGGGGUCGGACGGCAUCAGAAUCCAAUCCGCCAACAACUUCAACAGCUACCACCUCAACUUUAAAACAAAGACGCUAGAUUUCGUUCUGCAAAAUUAAUUCGAGCUCAAGUCACCAAGCCACAAAGGAAAAACAGAAUAAACUGAGAUCAACACGCCACAUACGACCGGAUUAGCAACCAGUAGAGGAGAAGCCAUAGGACAAAUCAUUGUUCAAACGGAUAUGCUGUUGGUGUGAAAACCUACGGCCACCCUCUGAAACAUGGUCUCAAGCAGGGUGGACAAAGAGAGCACGCAUUCCCCCUCGCCUCUGUCAAGGACAAAAUAAAUAAACUAUGCUACUUA